UGCAAGGUGGCCAAGUGGUGAAGGCUGUAGUCUACUAAUCCAGUGUGUGCUGCAUGCAUGGGUUUGAAUCCCAUUUUUGCCU
rnacentral:tRNA from 1 species